UACAGAGGUCCCAAGCGUUGUUCGGAUUCACUGGGCGUAAAGGGUGCGUAGGUGGCGGGGCAAGUUUGAUGUGAAAUCUCCGGGCUUAACCCGGAAACUGCAUUGAAUACUGCUCUGCUUGAGGUUUGGAGGGGGGACUGGAAUUCUCGGUGUAGCAGUGAAAUGCGUAGAUAUCGAGAGGAACACCAGUGGCGAAGGCGAGUCCCUGGACAACACCUGACACUGAGGCACGAAAGCUAGGGGAGCAAACAGG
rnacentral:rRNA from 1 species